GAAAUGCGAUAAGUAAUGUGAAUUGCAGAAUUCAGUGAAUCAUCGAAUCUUUGAACGCACAUUGCGCCCGCCAAUAUUCUGGCGGGCAUGCCUGUCCGAGCGUCAUUUCAACCAUCAAGCCCCCGGGCUUGUGUUGGGGACCUGCGGCUGCCCGCAGGCCCUGAAAACCAGUGGCGGGCUCGCUGUCACACCGAGCGUAGUAGCAAUCACCUCGCUCAGGGCGUGCUGCGGGUUCCGGCCGUUAAACAGCCUUACAAAACCCAAGGUUGACCUCGGAUCAGGUAGGAAGACCCGCUGAACUUAAGC
rnacentral:misc_RNA from 1 species